CUCUCUCUCCCUCUCUCUCCUGCGAAACCAGACCCAUUUUUUUUUCAGUUUCGACUUGCUACGACCCCACCUUCACGCCUCCACCACCGCCACCACACGCCGCCACUUGGGGCGGCACCGGUUCCGUUGGAACCACCACACUCCCUACUUUCCAUUCCACCCAACCACCGCCUCGAUCCGCCGCCGUGCACGCCGGAAUCAGCCACGAAAGGUAGCGGUUUGGACAGAUUUUUGUCAAACUUUCGGCCCUUCGUUCUCUCUCAUUUCUCCACCAAAUUGGACGAGUAAGGUAUGGUUUUCUACCUAUUUCCCAUGCUCUAGCUGAUGGUUGGGUAGGAUUUCGUUAAUUUUGAGCGUAGAUUAACUGAAUUUCGACUUAGGUUUUGGCCGGUUUUGGGUCUCCGAUUCCGGCCACUUCCGGUCAGUUUUUGGGGUAAGCCCAAGAACAAAAGUGACUCCAAAUAGGGUGUUGUACCUAGGGUAGGAGUCUUGAGCCGAGGUGUUGAGUUUUUCCGGCGAAGGGUUAUCGCUUUGGACACCCACGCGCUGCCAGCGCGUGUGGCGGCGCGUGGGCACUGUAGCAAACGUGAAUUUUUGUCCCAAUGCGAUCUCCUGGUUGUCACGAGUGCGUAGGAUUUUACGGAUCUCAAUUCGGACAUCGUUUGACUAUCGAACGGAUUUUCGCAUAGUAUGCGUUAUCCGGGUUCGAUAGGUUCCGACCGUUGGAUCGACUCCAUUCCAAUUUAUGUUACUCUAGACUUUCCUAGGAACGAGUAGGAUUUCACGGAUCAUGAAUCGGAGCCCCGGAUGUUCCGAUUCAAUAAUUUAAAGUUUGAAGAUUUUUCGAUAACCGUUCGAUCGUGAGCGAUCUAACCGUCCUUUUUGGACCAAACUUACGGGACUUGUGUCUUAAACCUUGUGGAACUCUUAGGAACUUCCAGUUUGUUCCGUUCCUCGUGCACUCUCUAGAAACCCGGGAAAUUAGGAUUUUAAUUCAAGUUCUCGUUCGAAACCCUUUAUAUUAAUCCCGUAUUUGUAUUCUGAAAUAGGUACUCCGACCACGCAUUCGCAGCAGGCGGGACCCUCUCAGGGUCAGGCAGUGUGGGACUACUUGUGAGUGGACUUUGUUUUCAAAUCUUAUGCAUGGUUUUAUGGAUGAAAGAUUUAUGCUUAACGUUUUUAAUGAUUUAUUGAAUAUAUUAUAUUCGUGGAUUGAAUUUGAUAUAGCAUAGUUGGAUUUUGAAAGUAUAUUUUAUAAGGAUUUUGGGAAAUUUUAUGCAUGAUGUUUUAAAUGGUAUUUUGGAUAUAUUAUUUAUUCAAUUGUUGAAAGUGAUAUUUUUAUGAGGCUUUAGAAAUAUAUUUUGGGUUUUGACAUAUUUGAGUAUCUUGAGUAUGUAUAUGGAUUUUGAGAAUUUAUAUAUAUGUUUGGCUAUGUGUGGGGUACUUGGGUUGUUGAGAUGAGAUUUUGGAAAGUGUUGAGUAUAGAAUGUCAGUUUGGAGUGCUAUAAGCACUACCCUAUGUACCUCCCCUGAUUUGGAACUUGGAUACGGAUACUUGAGAUACUCGGGGCAUCCUUGACGGGAUGUUGCUGUAGACCCUUGAUUGGGUAGUCUGCGCGUGUAGGACUGGUCACAGACGUACAAGUUUUGAGGGUAUCGACUGUACGUGCUGGCUGAGAGUUAGUCCCCCGGUUGGACGGCUCGUUCCCUAGUUACAUGGUGAAUUGAGGACUCUUCAUGGGGACUCUGCCAUGGUGACUAGUCAAACAAUCCCCCGGUUGGAUUGUUUCCCCGGUACAACUAGGUGUUGGUCAUAUUUAUAUUAUUAUUAUAUAUGUAUAUAUAUCUCUUAUUAUGUAUAAAUUUACAUAUGUAUAUAACUAUUCAUUUAUUCUUAUUUUUUUCGGUAAGGAUACUUCCUUGCCGGUCGUGCCAAUGGGUACGCUUUCGAGAGUUUGGUUUGGGACUUAUAAUAUUUAAUUGGUGGGUUUGUUUAGUGUUCUGUUUGGAUUUCGGACUUGGCAUCCGGCUUUGGUUUGGUUUUGACCUAUAUAAAUAUUUAUUUGAUUUUGAUGAUUUGAGAUGCAUUCGGAUUUUCUUGCUUGGUUUAUUAAACAGUGGGGUUAUAUUAUGUUGGUUUGCACUGAACUGAACUUUAUUUUUGUCCACUCACAUUUUUCUGUUUUGCGCCCCCAGCCAGUAGUCGACUGAGCUUCGCAGCUAGGCCGGAUCGUGUGCUCACGAGCCUUGAGCCAUCGUAGGAUUUCUUCAUCCUGUUUUCCUUGAACUUUGUUUCUGUUGUAUUUAAACUCCUUAGAUAUGCUCUGUUAUCGCCCUUGCUAGGGUUGAUCUUUGAGGCCGGAGGCCUUUGUUGUAAACUGUUUAAUUGCUUUAAAGCAUGCUGCUGGUUGAGUACUUUAAACUGUGUUUUUGAGCAGGUUGAAUUUUUGGGGAAAUGCUCAAUUUACAGGGGAGACUCUGCCAAAAUUUUUGGUAGAAAGUCUCGAUUCUUAGUAAGUGGGCCCGGCAUCGGGGAGAUGUCGGUAACUAGACGGGAUUCGCUCCGAUUUUCGAGAAUUCCGGGGCGGGUCCUGUCACUAUCU
rnacentral:lncRNA from 1 species